rnacentral:rRNA from 1 species
UACGAAGGAUCCAAGCGUUAUCCGGAUUCACUGGGUUUAAAGGGUGCGUAGGCGGGUUGGUAAGUCCGUGGUGAAAUCCCCAGCUUAACUUGGGAACUGCCGUGGAUACUAUCAAUCUUGAAUAUCGUGGAGGUCAGCGGAAUAUGUCAUGUAGCGGUGAAAUGCUUAGAUAUGACAUAGAACACCAAUUGCGAAGGCAGCUGGCUACAGGGAUAUUGACACUGAGGCACGAAAGCGUGGGGAUCAAACAGG